rnacentral:rRNA from 1 species
AGAGUACGUGAAACCGUUCAGGGGUAAACCUGAGAAACCCGAAAGGUCGAAAGGGGAGAUUCAGCGUGUCUCGAUUGCGGCGCUGGACGGUCGUGCGACGGCAGGCGUACGCGUUUGCCGCACCUUCCGUUCUCCGAACCGUAGCCGAACGCGUGCACUUCUCCCCCUGUAGGACGUCGCGAUCCGUUGGGUGCCGGUCUAAGGCCCGCGAUGGAGCCCGUCCGGACGGUCUUGCCGUUCCGGACGAACUCGCGGUGUUUCCCGGUCGGCUCGCUCGACGGUAUACAGAUGGCGCGGGGCCGCUAUUUUAUAGUUAGCGUCUGACCGACGGCAAGCGCUCUCGUCGUGACGGUGAUCGGACCUGGUGCCGGUCCUGUCCCCGAGUGGCUGUUCGCUGUCGUGUUCUUGGACAGACCUCGUUGAAACGCCGAUCUGCGACGCUAUAGCUUUGGGUACUUUCAGGACCCGUCUUG